GAUGAACGCUGGCGGCGUGCCUAAUACAUGCCAGUCGAGCGAACAGACGAGGAGCUUGCUCCUCUGACGUUAACGGCGGAAGGGUGAGUAACACGUGGAUAACCUACCUAUAAGACUGGGAUAACUUCGGGAAACCGGAGCUAAUACCGGAUAAUAUAUUGAACCGCAUGGUUCAAUAGUGAAAGACGGUUUUGCUGUCACUUAUAGCUGGCUCCGGGCCGCAUUAGCUAGUUGGUAGGGUAACGGCUUCCCAAGGCCACGAUGCGUAGCCGACCUGCGGGGGGGAUGGGCGACACAGGAGGUGAGCGACGGUCCAGGGACUGAGGGAAGGCAGAGGUAGGAAUCGGCCGCAAUGGGCGAAAGCCUUACGGAGCAACGCCGCGUGAGUGAUGAAGGUCUUCGGAGCGUAAAACUCUGUUAUGAGGGAAGAACCAAUGUGUAAGUAACAAUACACGUCUUGACGGUACCUGAACAAAAAGCCACGGCUAACUACGUG
rnacentral:rRNA from 1 species